ACUUGCACUGAUUCUUGAAUGACACGACAUUGCUCACAUUGCUUCCAGUGUAAUUUAGCUUUACGGCAAAGUGAUAUUUUU
rnacentral:antisense_RNA from 15 species